rnacentral:rRNA from 1 species
GACGAACGCUGGCGGCGUGCUUAACACAUGCAAGUCGAACGGAAAGACCCUGCUUUUGUGGGGUGCUCGAGUGGCGAACGGGUGAGUAACACGUGAGUAACCUGCCCUUGACUUUGGGAUAACUUCAGGAAACUGGGGCUAAUACCGGAUAGGAGCUCCUGCUGCAUGGUGGGGGUUGGAAAGUUUCGGCGGUUGGGGAUGGACUCGCGGCUUAUCAGCUUGUUGGUGGGGUAGUGGCUUACCAAGGCUUUGACGGGUAGCCGGCCUGAGAGGGUGACCGGCCACAUUGGGACUGAGAUACGGCCCAGACUCCUACGGGAGGCAGCAGUGGGGAAUAUUACACAAUGGGCGGAAGCCUGAUGCAGCAACGCCGCGUGCGGGAUGACGGCCUUCGGGUUGUAAACCGCUUUCGCCUGUGACGAAGCGUGAGUGACGGUAAUGGGUAAAGAAGCACCGGCUAACUACGUG